ACGUAGGGGGCAAGCGUUAUCCGGAAUUAUUGGGCGUAAAGAGUGCGUAGGUGGUUUUUUAAGCGUGAGGUGAAAGGCAAUAGCUUAACUAUUGUAAGCCUUGCGAACUGGAAGACUUGAGUGCAGGAGAGGAAAGUGGAAUUCCUAGUGGAGCGGUGAAAUGCCUGAAGAUUAGGAGGAAAACCAGAGGCGUAGGCGACAUUCAGGACUAUAUCCGACACUGAGGCACGAAACUGUGGGCAACAAACAG
rnacentral:rRNA from 1 species